rnacentral:rRNA from 1 species
UCUUGGANUGAACCAACCUGUGGGCGAAAGGGCGGNUUUAACCAGGAACACGUUCGAACGGUUGAGGGAUGAAAGCUGGGGGGAGCAAACCGGAUUAGAUACCCGGGUAGUCCCAGCUGUAAACGAUGCAGACUCGGUGAUGCACUGGCUUUUGGCCAGUGCAGUGCCGCAGGGAAGCCGUUAAGUUUGCCGCCUGGGAAGUACGUACGCAAGUAUGAAACUUAAAGGAAUUGGCGGGGGAGCACCACAAGGGGUGAAGCCUGCGGUUCAAUUGGAUUCAACGCCGGG